rnacentral:rRNA from 1 species
GAUGAACGCUGGCGGCGUGCCUAAUACAUGCAAGUCGAGCGAACAGACGAGGAGCUUGCUCCUCUGACGUUAGCGGCGGACGGGUGAGUAACACGUGGAUAACCUACCUAUAAGACUGGGAUAACUUCGGGAAACCGGAGCUAAUACCGGAUAAUAUAUUGAACCGCAUGGUUCAAUAGUGAAAGACGGUUUUGCUGUCACUUAUAGAUGGAUCCGCGCCGCAUUAGCUAGUUGGUAAGGUAACGGGUUACCAAGGCAACGAGGCGUAGCCGACCUGAGAGGGUGAUCGGCCACACUGGAACUGAGACACGGUCCAGACUCCUACGGGAGGCAGCAGUAGGGAAUCUUCCGCAAUGGGCGAAAGCUUGACGGAGCAACGCCGCGUGAGUGAUGAAGGUCUUCGGAUCGGAAAACUCUGUUAUUAGGGAAGAACAAAUGUGUAAGUAACUAUGCACGUCUUGACGGUACCUAAUCAGAAAGCCACGGCUAACUACGUG